AUGGAGAGUUUGAUCCUGGCUCAGGAUGAACGCUAGCGGCAGGCCUAAUACAUGCAAGUCGAACGAGAUUCUUUUCUUCGGAGAAGAUGAAAGUGGCGCACGGGUGCGUAACGCGUAUGCAACCUACCCAUUACAGGGGGAUAGCCCGGGGAAACUCGGAUUAAUACCCCAUAGUUUCCUGUUUUUGCAUAAUUACAGGAAUAAAGAUUUAUCGGUAGUGGAUGGGCAUGCGUCUGAUUAGCUAGUUGGUGAGGUAACGGCUCACCAAGGCGACGAUCAGUAGGGGGUCUGAGAGGAUGAUCCCCCACACUGGUACUGAGAUACGGACCAGACUCCUACGGGAGGCAGCAGUAGGGAAUAUUGGUCAAUGGGCGAGAGCCUGAACCAGCCAUGCCGCGUGCAGGAAGACAGCUUU
rnacentral:rRNA from 1 species